rnacentral:misc_RNA from 1 species
UCAAACUUGGUCAUUUAGAGGAAGUAAAAGUCGUAACAAGGUUUCCGUAGGUGAACCUGCGGAAGGAUCAUUAUCGAGUGAGGGUUCCUCUCAUGGGCCCGACCUCCCCACCCUGUGUCUACCACACCUUGUCGUUGCUUCGGCGAACCGGUUCGGAUGCCACGCUUCUCUCAAGGAGGCGAGGUCCCGACCGCCGGGGGUGCUUUCACCCCGGGAGAGCGUCCGCCGAUGGCCCAACCACAAACUUCUUUGUACCAAAACCGGUCGUCUAAAGAAUACUUGAUAUCAAUCAAAAAACAAAAACUUUCAACAACGGAUCUCUUGGUUCUGGCAUCGAUGAAGAACGCAGC